AUGGAAGACGACAGAGACACGCUCCGGAUACUUGUGGCCACCGACUGCCAUCUGGGCUACAUGGAGAAGGACGAGAUACGGAGGUUUGAUUCGUUCGAGGCUUUUGAGGAGAUAUGCUCGUUGGCAAAGCAGAAGGAGGUAGACUUUGUGCUUCUUGGUGGUGACCUGUUCCAUGAGAACAAGCCUUCGCGUUCAACCCUGGUGAAGACCAUUGAGAUUCUACGCCGCUACUGCCUGAAUGACCUGCCAGUGAAGUUCCAGGUUGUCAGUGAUCAGACAGUCAACUUCCCAAACAGAUUUGGCCACGUAAACUAUGAAGACCCACAUUUCAAUGUUGGCUUGCCUGUGUUCACUAUCCAUGGAAAUCAUGAUGAUCCUGCUGGGGUGGAUAACCUCUCUGCUAUUGAUAUCCUUUCGGCUUGCAAUCUUGUAAAUUAUUUUGGGAAGAUGGACCUUGGCGGCUCUGGUGUUGGUCAAAUAGCUGUCCAUCCAGUACUUGUUAAAAAGGGUACAACUACAGUUGCACUAUAUGGCCUUGGGAACAUUAGAGAUGAGCGACUGAACAGAAUGUUUCAGACACCACAUUCAGUACAAUGGAUGCGACCUGAAAGUCAAGAGGGUCUAUCAGUAUCUGACUGGUUCAAUAUCCUGGUACUUCAUCAGAACAGGAUAAAGACAAACCCAAAAAGUGCCAUCAACGAGCAUUUCUUACCACGUUUUCUAGACUUCGUGGUAUGGGGCCAUGAGCAUGAAUGCCUUAUUGACCCCCAGGAGGUCCCUGGAAUGGGUUUUCACAUUACGCAGCCAGGCUCAUCAGUUGCAACCUCCCUGAUUGAUGGUGAAGCAAAACCAAAGCAUGUUCUUUUGUUAGAAAUCAAGGGAAACCAGUAUAGACCAAACAAAAUACCUUUGAUGACCGUUAGACCUUUUGAGUAUGCUGAGGUUGUGUUGAAAGAUGAAGCAGAUGUCGACCCUAACGAUCAGGCCUCUGUUCUUGAACAUUUGGAUAAAAUUGUAAGAAAUCUGAUCGAAAAGAGUAGUCAACCAACAGCCAGUAGAUCUGAAGCCAAACUUCCAUUAGUUCGAAUCAAGGUAGAUUACUCUGGGUUUUCAACAAUAAACCCACAGCGAUUUGGUCAGAAGUAUGUCGGCAAGGUUGCGAACCCCCAAGAUAUUCUCAUUUUCUCAAAAGCAGCAAAGAAGCGCCAGACUACUACAGGAGAGAAUAUCGAUGAGUCCGAGAAACUUCGUCCUGAGGAACUAAACCAACAAACUAUUGAAGCUUUGGUUGCAGAAAAUAACUUGAAAAUGGAGAUUCUUCCAGUUGACGACUUGGACAUUGCAUUGCAUGACUUUGUCAGCAAGGAUGACAAGACCGCAUUCUAUGCCUGUUUGCAGCGAAAUCUGGAUGAAACAAGGAAGAAACUGAAUUCCGAAGCAGAGAAAUUUAAAAUCGAGGAAGAAGAUAUAAUAGUCAAAGUUGGCGAGUGCAUGCAGGAACGUGUAAAGGAAAUAUCUCUACGCUCCAAGGGAGACACAGGGCUCGCAUCAAGCACUCAAAAUUUGCAGGAUACUAUUAGAGGUAAAUCUGUAGCAGCUGAAAGUAGCAUGAACACUUUUAGUGACGACGAGGACACCAGGGAGUUGCUUCUUGGUACCAGAUCAACCAGGUCUACAGCUGGAUUUACCAGACCCUCUAAAGAUGCUACUGGUGCUGCUAGAGGUGGAGCUUCCAAAAGAGGCAGGGGGAAAGGCUCAUUGAAACAAACCACCCUUAGUUUCAGUCAAUCAAGGUCAAGUGCUGCUAUUCGCAGUGAGGAGGUGGACUCUUCCUCAGAUGAGGACGCAGCGAACGAAGUAUAUGAAGUUGUUGAAAAUUCAGAUCCCGAGGACAGUUUCCCACAAAGUGGACGGAAAAGGCCGGCUCCUAGAGGCAGAGGUCGGGCCAGAGGCACUACCACUGCGAAAAGAGGGAGGAAAGCCGACACUGGUUCCAUGCCAAGCAUGGUGAUGAGCAAAGACGAUGACAGCGACGAAGAUGACAAGCCUAAGAAACCUCCGCCUCGGGUCACGAGGAACUACGGAGCCGUCAAGAGGAGAUGA
rnacentral:rRNA from 1 species